GACGAACGCUGGCGGCGUGCUUAACACAUGCAAGUCGAACGGAAAGGCCCUGCUUUUGUGGGGUGCUCGAGUGGCGAACGGGUGAGUAACACGUGAGUAACCUGCCCUUGACUUUGGGAUAACUUCAGGAAACUGGGGCUAAUACCGGAUAGGAGCUCCUGCUGCAUGGUGGGGGCUGGAAAGUUUCGGCGGUUGGGGAUGGACUCGCGGCUUAUCAGCUUGUUGGUGGGGUAGUGGCUUACCAAGGCCUUGACGGGUAGCCGGCCUGAGAGGGUGACAGGCCACAUUAGAACUGGGAUACGGCCCAGACUCCUACGGGAGGCAGCGGUGGGGAAGAUUGCACAAUGGGCGGAAGCCUAAUGCAGCAACGCCGCGUGCGGUAUGACGGCCUUCGGGUUGUAAACCGCUUUCGCCUGUGACGAAGCGUGAGUGACGGUAAUGGGUAAAGAAGCACCGGCUAACUACGUG
rnacentral:rRNA from 1 species